GUCACGGAUGGCGUGUGGUCUAUACAGAUGAGAUGCAGAAAAGGAGGUGGCAGGGCGACAUCUCCAUCUCCAUCUCCAUCUCCUUCUCCUCCUCCCCUCCACCUCGGGGAACCAAGUCUCGAGCCCUAGUUAUUAGUAAACCUUCAGAGCACUAAUUUUUUCUACUUGGAAGUUUCUGCUGCAUCAGAUCCAGACCAGCCGGAGCCACACGGAUACCCCCCCUCCUCCUCCCAAAGGGGGAAAAAUAAGGAUCAGGUGAAAAUGCUUGGAAAUUACAAUCGUAGACUACAAACAAAGAAUCCGAAGGCGGCCAGGAAGGCGCAGAAAGAUAGAUGACCAGACGUCAUCCUUGAAGUCACGGUCCUGGGCGUGGCCUAUGCAGAUGAGCGGCGCGCAGGGUCUGCCGGGUCCGCGCUCUCUGCGGAAACGCGAGGGAUUUCGUCGCGGCGAGGAAGGGAGCGCGGGUCCGCGGGUGUCAGAGGAGCACAGGUGUCUGCUCCCCACUCUCUGGGUCUGCUGGCCACCUUGCCUCUGCAGAGCCCAGGCUGAAGAUCAUUGGUUCCAGCACAGACUGUGGCAAAGGAGGAAGACAGAGAGAAGACUCGGGAUGAGGAUCUCAAAAAACUCAGUGGCCAGAAAGCCUGGAAGCCCCUACCCACGAGGGAUGCACGUGAGAGACAGACAGGACAUGAGAAAGUACGGAGCACAAAUGCAGAGGAAGGGAAACUAUAUGAAUUGCACAUUGGAGCCAUGAUUCUCACAGCCCUUUCCUGGCCCCAUCACCCACUGAGAAGUGCUCUGAAUGAAUGUUCUUUGUUGCUUCCUAUGCAUGGGUUUCUGCUACAGCUCCUUUUUCUGGUCCACAAUGACCUGGAAAUCCCAGCAGAUGUUCUCUAGACUCCCAAUUCACAGGUAUAACUGAAAGAAUAAAGAUUUUUAAACUAUCCCACUGACCCUGCUGUGAGGGCCAGUCCACCUCACAGCAAAGAAUAACCUCACAUGUUAUGGGAAAGUAGUCCACCUGGCCUCCAUAAGGCCUAGCUCAGCAUAAACUAUCCAGCCUCGAUAAGGCCUGGUUGAACAUUAGCCAUUUGGCCCUGUUAAGACCUGACUUGAUGUAAGCCAUCCGGCCUCCAUAAGGCCUGAUUUACCAGUCCUGAGAAAAAAAGAGUUGGGGUCAGCUCGCCCCAGAGGCAGGGUAGCUUGGAGUUGGACUGAGCCCAAGCUAGAUCAUGUGUGCCAAUGUAAACAAACUAGUGAAAUUGCUUUGCUUUGUGUGACUGUUGCCAACUACCUAUGUAAUUUUCCCUAUCAAUACCUUCCCCUAAUUGGGCUCGGGGUCAACUCCUCUGUCUCCUGUGUGAGAUACGUGUCGUCCCCAGAGCUCUGGUGCCUCAAAUACACCUCUUGUUCAUUACAUCAA